GGCCGGUUAGCUCAGUUGGUUAGAGCGUCGUACUAAUUACGCGAAUGUCGUGGGUUCGAGCCCCAUACUAGCCA
rnacentral:tRNA from 1 species